rnacentral:sRNA from 1 species
GCUGGGUGUAGUGGCAUGCGCCUGUAAUCCCAGUGGUUUGGGAGGCUGAGGCAAGAGGAUGUCAAGUUCAAAGCCAGACUCAGCAAAAGUGAGGUGCUAAGCAAUUCUGUCUCUAAAUAAAGUAAAAUUUACAGACCCUGUCUCUA